UGCUUUAAGAGUGCUGGCCUGAAGGGAGAGUCAGGUACAUUGUUAUUUACACCAUCCUCUUGGAAAGAAAGAGCUAGCCUGUGUUUUCAUUUCAGGGAGCCCCAGGUUCUUCACACAGCACCUAUUCUGGUAACCAGGUAAACAUGCAAAUAAAAUGCCCUAUUCAGAAACCCCACCUAAAGCCUUCCCUGAAGGCACAUCCAAAUCUAAACCAGUAACCCAUUCUGUCUUCUGCACAGGAAGGGCCUUACUUCUAUCCCGGAGGAUCCUAUGGACAGGUAGUUGUUUUUCCUCCUCUAGCAGGACAACACACACUUCCAUCAUUCCAGUUCCUAGACUCCCAACAUUGUGGGUGUUAAUUGCAUUGUCCACCUAGAGCCUUCCCUGAAGGAACAGCCAAAGCUAAACCAGUAACCCAUUCUGUCUUCUGUACAGGGAGGGCCUUCCUUCUAUCCUGGAGGAUACCAUGGACAGGAGGGCCCAGAUUCUUCCCACAGCUCUUACUCUGGUAACCAGGUAAAUAUUCUGGCCACUGUCCCUGCACAGGAGCACUCCAGAUGUCUUUCCCAAGAGAAUGCUUCAGAUACAAACCUAAAUGUUUCUCUUUUCUGUACAGGGAGGGUCUUUCUAUCCUGGUGGAUCUUAUGGACAGGUAAAUGUUGUUCCAUCUUUGUAAAGAUGAGGCAGACCUCUGUUAUCUGCAUUCCUACACUCCCCUUGAAAGACAGAAACUUCUUUCUUAGGGGAAGCAAAGUAAGAGAAACUCUAACAUUUUGUCUACAGGGAGGCUCUUCUGCCUAUGACAGCAGCAGUGAAUCCUAUGGCCAGGGUGGCUCUUCCGUGUACGGUGGUGCUGGGUCUUACGGCCAGGUAAAUACUAUUUGUCCCAUAUAUCAAAAGUUAACUCUGCUCUAUUGGUUAUCUGCACUGGGUUCUAUAUUUCAAAUACAUUUAAGUGGAGAACCAUGAAAAUGCCACUUCACCUUUGCUUAUUCUUUACUUUUA